GGAGCGCCCAGAGGUGGAUCGCCGCCCUGGCAGGGACCCUGCCUGUCUUGCUGCUGCUUCUUGGGGGAGCCGGUUACUUCCUGUGGCAACAGCAGGAGGAAAAAAAGACUCAGUUCAGAAAGAAAAAGAGAGAGCAAGAGUUGAGAGAAAUGGCCUGGAGCACAAUGAAGCAAGAACAAAGCACAAGAGUGAAGCUCCUGGAGGAACUCAGUAAGUUCCCAUUCCCCCAGAGACCCAGGCAUGUCUUCCUGUCCCUGCUUUAUGCGCCUUGAUGCAUCUUCCCCUGUUCCUUCCAUUGCAGGAUGGAGAAGUAUCCAGUACGCAUCUCGGGGAGAGAGACAUUCAGCCUAUAAUGAAUGGAAAAAGGCCCUCUUCAAGCCUGGUGAGGAAAUGCUUCAGAUGAGGCUCCACUUUGUUAAAUAAAUUGGAUGUAUGGAAAAAUAGACUGCAGAAAAGGGGAACUCAUUUAGCUCAUGAGUGGUCGAAUGAAGGUUGAAAAUUAACCUCUGAGUAUAAAGCAUUAGUGGGCAGAGUGAAUGUGGGGAGGGAAACAAGAAAAACGUAGAAAGGAUCCUUGCUGCUUCCUGAGGCCACGUCAGGGUAUUGGGUUAGGCAGAUGCUGAGGCAACCCUCAUUUCACCCUCCUCUUCCCCUCUGGACACAAGAUACCUGAUACCUGGGGCUUUCUCUCCUGACAUCGAUGAGAGAGUCACAUUUAGGGCAGACUAGGAACACCAGGCUUUGGACUCAGACCUCCUCAGCAUGGCCCAGGCCUUGCAUGCUGAGGCUCUGAAAUCCAGGAAAAAUGGUUGACCGCAUGGACACUUCCUCAAACUCUCUGCAGCGGAUGUGAUUCUGGAUCCAAAAACAGCAAACCCCAUCCUCCUUGUUUC
rnacentral:sRNA from 1 species